GACGGAGGGAGCAAGUGUUAUUCUACGGGAAUCGGUGUAUGGGGUACGUAGACGGUUUUUUAAGUUGGAUACAUAAAUAAUAUCGAAAGAUUUCACAAAUGUAUUCAAUACUGUAAAACUAGAAUCAACUACGAUGAGAGUAGUACACCAGGAGGAUAGGUAAAAUCAGUAGAUACAUGGGGGACUAUCAAUUACGCGCAAGCAUCUCUCAAAAUUAUGAUUGACGUUGAGGUACAAAAGCAUGGGGAGCAAAUCGG
rnacentral:rRNA from 1 species